rnacentral:lncRNA from 1 species
CUGAAUCCAGUCAUCACUCAAUCCAAAACUCCGAGCCUUAGAAAGCAAUGUGGGAUAAAGUUCAACCUCUAAAAUUCUCACAAGGGGCAUAGGCCGUUUGACACCAUUUAUUAGAAGAGGUGGCCCAUUUGCACCGGAUACAAUCUUUUCAAGAACUUGACUUAUCGCAUAAAUUGGAAGGCCCCUCACAAAUUGAUGAUCCUCUGAUGUACUGCAACCAAAUUUCAGCUGGUACAGGGGAUUCAGCAUCAGCAUCAAUAAAUACAAGUAAUGUAAAAAUUUACAAAUAUAUAUAUAUAUAUUCUUUUGGUAAAAAAAGUCAGGAUGGAUCAUAUAAGCACCCCCCUUUCUUUUUUAGAAGAGGUGGCCCAUUUGCACCGGAUACAAUCUUUUCAAGAACUUGACUUAUCGCAUAAAUUGGAAGGCCCCUCACAAAUUGAUGAUCCUCUGAUGUACUGCAACCAAAUUU